rnacentral:lncRNA from 1 species
CCCCAAGCUAUCCCUACUGCUCUACUCCCUAUCAUGUGUUGCGAUUUAUGUUGGUUUUCCCAAGUGAUGCAAUACUUAGUGUUGUGGCUAUUGGAAGGGGUCUGAACUCCCCCUAUGGACCUGUGAUCGUGUGGUAUGCUAUGUUGAAGGCCCAGUAAGGCUGGGUAUUUAACUUUUUUAUUUGGGCUUGUUAUAGGCAUGUUUAUUGCCAUGUAAUUAUUAUUAUUGUUACUUAUUAAUUUGGGUAUUUAAUAAUACCUUUGUAUAAACGAUUGGAGUGCUAGUAAAAGGGGAUGGGAUAAAUUUUAAUAUUUACAUGCAAUUGGUAAAUUUAAUGCCUAUAGGACCGAAUGGUGCAUUUGUUCCAUGCUAUUCAUUCCCUUUGUACACUGUAGAGAGCAUGCCAUUAGGAAAAACACACACACUUGCACUACUUGUUUAUUAGUAAAGCGUGAACUCAAAUGACUCAAUAUCUUUUUAGCUAUAUGAUAUUAGAGAACCUGUCUAUAGGAAGUGUCGUUAAACUUCCUAUUAAUUCGUAUUAUUGCAUCAUGUGCAAUAGGUACCAUGCCUACAAGAUCUUACUAGUUCACCUAAAAUCAUGCCUAUAGAACCUUAAUUAACCAAUCAUAUAUUGUUCCGCCUAAAUAACAUGUUUAUAGAGGUAAUGGGUUAUAAAAAUCAAAAUUCAAUUGUCAAUAGCUAGAUAUCCUACCUCUAGGACUAUCACUCGCUUAAUAUUAUUCCUUUGUCAAUGUUGAAUUUCCAGAAUUAUCUUCAUUUGUUUAACUCUGCAACUAUCAGAUAUCAUACUUAUAGGACAAAUGUCACUUUUCUAAAACAAGCGUCUAAAACCAUCGUUAAUAGCAAAGGGUCUACUGCAUCCUCUUCUAAACCAUGAAAGACAGUAACGUUAUAUAUACGUGGUUGGAUUCAAGGUCACCAUAAAUCAUGGCUAUAGGAAGUUAAAUUCCUUA